UUGGUGACGUGUGUAUCUAAACAGCUAACUUAGCAAAUGGUUUUUGGAUGGUAUUUUUUCUUCUGUUAGUUUGAGCAGGACUUCAUCAUGCUAUUUGGAGAAGACAUCUCAGGGAAGUUUAUUGCAAGAUGGCCAAUGUUCUACAAACCCAAGAUCAUUACUGUCAGCAAAAGCAUUCGACAGAGCAUUCACCUGGAUGACCUUCUGUCUGCUCAGGAGUAAUCAAGUGAUUAUGAAUGGGAUAGCGACUUAGCAGCCAUUCUCCUGCUGGUUCAUCUCUUGCCUCCAACCGCCAAAGGGAAGAAACAUGUCAAAAUUAGUGCAACUGAGGCAGCUGAUCGUUUUGUGAGGCUCAUGAAGGUGGGGACAAGCAUGGUGACAUUCCUUGACAAAGUUGGAUCUGCACAGCCCUUCCUCCUCUGCGUUGGAGAGAAGAAGAGCUGUAUUCAGAAGUUCUACAUCAUCCUUGAUAAGAAGCCCAUUCCUUGUGUGGUACAGAGGGACAAAUGGCUGCCUUCGAUGAACUUUUUAAGGCGCACUUUGUGUUUGCUGUGUCCUACAAUGUAACUCUUCUCAACUUCUACACAUUCAUCCAAACAACAGUUUAUGGGAUUGAUGCAUCAACAACAAAGGAGAGCCCCAGAGUCAAUGAAAUCAGAGUGACAAUUAACAACACUUAAAUAUGCCAACAUGCAACAUUUAUAAGGUUCAGCACAGGAAUUCUUCAACUUUUGUAUGAGCUGUGCAUUAAAGGUCUGUAAUACU